CACAAACAGCGAGACCAUCGUUUUGAAGUGUAUGGAUUGAUGUCAUUGACUUAAUGCUUUCAUGAUUAGCUGUUCCAGCGGUUGCUAGAGUCAAUACCCUGCGAGUCCACAACAGAGCUGUUUUUGCCAUGCUUGGUACAGCCGCUACAGCUUUCGAAACGUUUGGACAAAACUUUCCAACUAAUGGCAGAAGAACUUGUUCCGGAGAAAAGACUGGCAUUUGGGUAGAGAUCAUGGAAUCACUUCCCACAAAAUUGAAAAUAAAAAUGUGCUUGACUAAUUCACGUCUUGCCCAAAAAAUUAAAGAUCAGGCUGCACCGAAAAAGUCCUUGGUUUAGGGUAACCUAACGCAAAAUCAUGGUCAGUCAGUCAGAUUCUUAUUUUCUUCAAUCUUUUUCCAUUUACAAAUGCAUACAUUAAAUUCUGUCAGAGUAAACUUUCUUGUUCCUCUUGUAUUGGUGGUUGCAAAGACAAUUUUCCAGACGUAAGUAAUAGCACAGAACACAGAGGAGAAAGGAAAAACAUGCAAUUGAUAUUAGACUAUGCAGUCAUGCAGAUCAAUAACAUCAGCAACCAGACAAUCCAUGCCGGUGGCUGGGAAAGCUGCUGCUCCUACGCAUUCUGCAUCAACACGUCGUUUGCACUUUCAGCCGGAAGUUGUUUACAAGUCAAUGCUGUGGCAGCCUAUACGGUAAAAAUACGUGAUGUCUACAAAACUCUAAAUGCAAUCCAACAUUGUCAUCUGGCACUGCAUCAUAGUGAGUUCCUGAAUCUGAUGUUGUCUGCACAGACAUCAGCCGCCAUGCAUCGUCGUCUGACACAUGACUCUUCGACCCGCAGAAUUCUAGAAUUAACAAUGGAAAGGCCAUUAUCCAGAACCGUGACCGAAAUUGAAGGUAUGGCACGUAUUCUAGUAGCUGUAGUCAGUGUUUCUGCUGGGAAUUUUUGAUUAUUAUUAUUAGCCAAUUGGCUAAAGGUGUUUGAUCGUUUGUAGUCAAGUGCUUUAUUUCAGAGCCAAGAAAAAAAUUGCCCAAACAUCAAACAUAUAACAAUCUCAACAACAAGAACUAUUGAUUCAAGUUUAACCUGGUAGGACAGACAGGCAACAUUUACUAAUGGUCAAUCACAACAAAUGCAGUACUAAUCUGGCACAUGUCAUACUCAAUAGAAUGUGACUUUGGAAAGACAAAGUCUACAAACCAGACUUCAAGCAUUCAUUGUCAUCCUGCCUGGUUUUAAUUUAUACCAAAAUUUAAAAGCUCUGCCAAAAUCAAAGUCUUGAAGUUCUAGCCCUUCU